GGGCCCGCACAAGCGGUGGAGCAUGUGGUUUAAUUCGAUGAUACGCGAGGAACCUUACCAGGGCUUAAAUGUAGUCUGACAGGGGUGGAAACACCCCCUCCUUCGGGCAGAUUACAAGGUGCUGCAUGGUUGUCGUCAGCUCGUGCCGUGAGGUGUCAGGUUAAGUCCUAUAACGAGCGCAACCCCUGCCGUUAGUUGCCAGCAUGUAAUGAUGGGAACUCUAACGGGACUGCCGGUGCAAACCGCGAGGAAGGUGGGGAUGACGUCAAAUCAUCACGGCCCUUACGUCCUGGGCUACACACGUGCUACAAUGGCCGGUACAGAGGGCAGCCACACCGCAAGGUGGAGCGAAUCCUUAAAACCGUGGCUCAGUUCAGAUCGUAGGCUGCAACUCGCCUACGUGAAGGAGGAAUUGCUAG
rnacentral:rRNA from 1 species